rnacentral:rRNA from 1 species
UACGUAGGGGGCAAGCGUUGUCCGGAAUUAUUGGGCGUAAAGAGCGUGUAGGCGGUUUGGUAGGUCAGCUGUGAAAACUCGAGGCUCAACCUCGAGACGCCGGUGGAAACCAUCAGGCUAGAGUCCGGAAGAGGAGAGUGGAAUUCCUGGUGUAGCGGUGAAAUGCGCAGAUAUCAGGAAGAACACCCGUGGCUAAGGCGGCUCGCUAGGACGGUACUGACGCUGAGACGCGAAAGCGUGGGGAGCGAACAGG